UCCAUGUGGGCCAUCUGUCCUUGCUUUGUCCCCUCCCAGUUUCUGGUGCACCCAAAGUCUCCUCGCUGGUGGGGCAGCAUGAAGAGCUGAAAAGACCUUGGGUCUGUGUGAGCACUGCUCUACAGCAACUAAAACAUUGAGAACUGCAGGCCACAUGAGACAUCCUGAGGCCUCUCCCUGACUGUGCCUCAGAUGCCUUCAGCUUGGGCCAUGUGAAGUGGUGGACAGCCUGGGGAUCCAGCCAGACCAAGAGCCUGAGGACUGCCGUUGGCGGUGGCCAGGAAGGUGCCAGCUUUUGCAGAUCGAAAUUUGCAGGAGAGCACCCAACCUGCCAGGCAGCACUCUGCCAUCCCAGCAGGCGUGCAGGAUGACCAGUCCUGGUCCAGCGAUGGCUUCCCACUUCAUGCUGCUGUCCCUCGGCCCUGAACCCCACAGCCAUCUUCACAGGAGGAGGCAGGGCUCACCAGGCCUGUGGGGUGCUGGGGACAGGACUCAAGGGGCAGUGGCACCAAAAAAUGCUUGGGCAGGAGGAAGGGGCAGGGAGGAAUGUGGAAGAGCCAGGAAUGCAGAUCUGACAGCCACUGAGGGUUUGCUGGCCUCUGGUCUGAUUUCAGUCACCACUAGGUGCAAAAGGUACGUUCCCGCUUCUUCCCAGGUCAGCAGCAGAGGAAUGAAGCCAUGCUGUGUGACAACCAUCUCUCUGAUGCUCACUAGCAUUGUCCCUGUGGUGGCCUAGGGGCUUGGGGGACCUCCCUUGGCAGGGUCAGCUGUGGUCAUGGUGAUCCUGCAGGCAAGCCCAGCACUUGAAACCACCUGGUCACAGGAGCCCUCAAAAGGUGAGAAGGCAGCUCAAACAUGCCACCACUCAUCCUUAUGCCUGCAAGCAAAAUCCAUUGUCCAUGUGUUCACCAUUCCACCACCAGUCCUCUGAAUCACUUUGUCCUUCCCACUUUCUUCUACCUAGCUUGCAUAAUGUUUUUUAAAUUGUGAA